rnacentral:tRNA from 1 species
GGGAGUAUAGCUCAGAUGGAUAGAGCGCUCGCCCGAUAAGCGAGAGGUCGCUGGUUCAAUCCCAGCUACUCCCA